AUACCUUUCUCGCCCUAUUUGCUAAAAUCAAGUGUAGUAUCUGUUCUUAUCAGUUUAAUAUUUGGUAUGCUCGUCCAUGCGACGGCACGGUAUUAAAUUAAUUUUUUUCAUGAGGAGUUCCCGUGACAGCAGCUUGCUGAGAUGAGGGAACUAUGAUAAAGGUCCUGCAGUGGUGCCUACAACAUGCAUUA